GUGUGUGUGUGUGUGUGUGUGUGUGUGAGUGUGUGUGUGUGUGUGUGAGUGUGUGUGUGUGUGUGAGUGUGUGUGUGUGUGAGUGUGUGUGUGAGUGUGUGUGUGUGUGAGUGUGUGUGAGUGUGUGUGUGUGUGUGUGCGUGUGUGUGCGUGUGUGAGUGUGUGUGCGUGUGUGUGUGUGUGUGUGUAGGGAGGGUCAGUUAUGAGUGGUCUUUUAGAAGUUUCUGUAACUUUCAUUUCACACUCUGGAGAUUUUCCUCGUGCUAUAAGAUGUCAGCGUGUGUUUUCUCCUCGUUACUCACUGCACUGUGUCUGGGACUGUAUGGAAAAUAUACAUAUGCAGGAGCAUGUACAGAUCCUUUUCUCUCUCCGGCGUCUCUGCUGGUGGAGUAUGGAAGCCCUGCUGAAGUGAACUGCUCCAUACCGAACAAACCUGUGACGCAGUACAAGCUGGGCUGGGAGUCUAAAACCUCACAGCCUAUAACAGACAAUGAGACGAGUGUUGUGUGGAAGCUGGACAGACUGACGAAGUGGGAGGAAGCUGAAAGACUCGGAUGUUUCUUCACAGUGGGAGCUACUCAAUGUGUGAGCUAUGUAAAUCUCACCAUUUACAAGAGGCCAGACAGGGUUACACUGAACUCUGUGUCUGAUGUGGUGGCAGAGGGAGAUCAGACAGAGCUGAGGUGUGAGAUUGAGAACGUCGGACCUGGAGGUAACCUCAGUGUGCACUGGAGCAGAGCGGAUCCCAAGCAAGACAACACUUUCACACGAUUCACUCACACGUCCUUCCCAGACUUGGUAAAUGAGAUGCAGAGUGUUAACAAGACAGUGAAUCUAACCGUCACACCCAGCCGUGAGGACGCUGGAGUUCAGUAUCAGUGUGCAGCUGUGCUGAAUCUGGACCAACAUCUGCUCGUGUUCCCAUCACAACCAGUCACCAUCACUGUACACUCUGGGAAACCGUCACUCAUCCCUAUCUGGAGCGCGAUCGCUAUAGUGUUAAUGUUCGCUGUGGUCAGCUUUCAGUGCUGGAUAUAUUUCCAAUACCCACACAUGGGUCGUGCUACAUCCUGAAACACCUGGUCCUGCAGGAACAACGGCUAUGUCGACCACAAUGCUGCAGACCAAGGACAACUGUAGAUACUGAUGAGAAUACUUGAAGGGGUGACAUACCAGUGCUAGCUUUGAACAGGGAUUUGUGUCCGUACUCGAUUCAGGAUAGCUGGGAGCUCCAGGUUGAGGGAUAUCUGGCUGUGACACAUCAAAGCACUGCUUCCAACUCCUGAUUGGCCUGUUCCAACAGACCAUUGCAAGUCCAAGGCAAUGUGGGACCAGGGGCAGCUGGGACCUAGCAAGGGACAAUGCAGUCCAACAGGUCUGCACCUCUGGUGCACACUGAGCAAGUAGAGAUGAAAAACCAGAUGUAGUGUCACAUCAAAAGACCUAACAUGCAACUGGAACCGGGGUUACACGCGAAUGGGGAGGAGUGCCUAGUCCCUAAUGAAGCAGCAGUAAAAGUUAGCAAACCCCAGGAACCAUUGUAGCUUCAGGGUGGUGUGUCUGGGCCACUUGGUGAUGGCCAGAAUCUUCUCGGAAUCAGCCUGCACCCACUGGCUCUUCAACCACCAGCUUUUCCGCUUUUCACAAGCAGGUGAUUCUCUAGCAGCCAUUGCAGGACCUGACGGACAUGGAGGAUGUGCUCAGUGGGGGUGCGAGAAAAGAUCAAGAUAUCAUCUAUAUACACAAAAACAAAGCAAUUCAGAAAGUCUCUGUGGACAUCAUUCACCAGGGCGUGGAACACUGCUGGGGCAUUGGUGAGGCCAAAGGGCAUGACCAAGUACUGGAAGUGGCCCAGGAGUGUGUUAAACACCGUCUUUCACUUAUCCCCAUCUCUGAUCCUGACCAGGUGGUAUGCAUUUCACAGGUAUAACUUGGUAAAGAUAGUGGCCCUAUAGAGUGGCUCAAACACCAAGCUGAGGAGAGGCAGGGGUUACUUAUUUUUAACAGUGAUGCUGUUCAAGCUCUGGUAAUCAAUACAAGGAAAGAGGAAAUGGUCUUUCUUGGACAUGAAAAAGAAGGGUUUUGUCCUUGCCAAAACCCUCUCCCAGGUCAGGGUACUCAGAGGGCAUGGUUGAGAGGUCAGGGGGCCAAGGCCAGUGGAGGUGGUGUCCAUUGAGAUGGAGGGCAGAUGGAGGGCAAGCGAGGAGCGAGGCUGGUUCUCUCCCUACACCCUUCUCACAUGUGGUGGUCCAGCCUAAUGGUGAGGGAGAUCAGCAAGUCGAGGGUGUCUGACUCAUCCUUAGGGGCCAGUUCAUCCUACACCUGUUCGUUGAGCUCACUCAGGAACACCCCCUGGAGUGCUGCCUCAUUCCAGCUACACUCAGUGGCCAGGAUGCGGAAGUCCAGAAUAUUCUGCCACAAUGUGGGACCACUAGCAAAGGGAGAACAGACAUUUGGCAGCCUCCUUCAAUUGGACGGGGUAGUCAAACACCCUCUGUAGCUUAAUGUUGAAGGAGGACACAGGGGCUGGCUGUCACAACCCAGGCCAAGUCAUCUCCCCUUAGCAGCCCCAUUAUGUAGGAGACCUUGGCUUCAUUGAUGGCAUAUGUCAGCAGGCACUGGCCAAACAUAAGUUGCAUUGGAGGAGAAAUGAUUUCUCUAAAUCAACUGUGUAGGUUUCAGGGUAUGGAACAUGCACACCAUGGAAGCCAUAGGGCUGGGACAGGGAGCAGGGGAGGCUGAAGGGAUGGCCUGACUGGGCUGGGGGUUAGGGGGCAUUUAGACCAUUUGGGAGGGGAUGCAAUUAAGGUGCUGGUCAAGGAGCCUUAUCUAGCUCACACACUGAAACAAGAAGGAAAGAUAAACACUGGAAGCACAAGGAACUCAACAAAGGAAAAGUGGAAGAUUUUAAACUGGCCAAGUCAAUCACAUUACCUUAACUUAACUGAUCAGCAUUUCACCUCCUGAAGAGGAGACUAAAUCCAACAACUGAAAGAAGCUGCGGUAAAAGCUGGAAAAUCAUCACAAAGAAGAAACCAACAGUUUGGUGAUGUCAGUGAGUCGCAGGCUUGAUGCAGUUAUUGCAAAAAGGGGAUAUGCCUCCAAAUAUUAAGUGUUAUUUACUUUAAGACGAUCUGUUCCAAUAUAUUUUGCUCACCUAAAAAUUGGGGGGUCUGCCACCAAAAAUGCCAAGUUGUUUAACACGUCUAGAUGUAAAUAUCAGUUGCUAUAUGACUGAUAGAAGCUGAUGUUCAGUUGAUCUGCUAACGUUUCUUUGAUGUUGUGUAAUCACAACGUGCUCACAUCGUCAUUUAGUCUCGAGACGUAACGAAGAUAGGGACGGAUGCAAAUGCAGUUUUACAGUUUUAUUGAAGAGAAACACAGGCAGGUAAAUCCAAAUUGUAAUCCACAAACAUAAUCCAGAAACAUGAAAGGUCAGGCGAUCGGCAAACAGUCAUAAUCUGCGCAAGGCAUGAACAUUGUCGUGGUCACGGAAAACAGGGUUGAGAUGCAAAACAAGAAACAUAAACAAUAGCGAGGGACUGGGAGCGGAGAAACCAGCGUGGACUAAAUCUAAUAUUUAACCUAAAUAACUCUAACAAGGAACCUAACAUGGAUAUUAACUAUGACUAUGACUAUCUAUGGUAACGAAUCGAAUCUAAACUAAACUUAUCUAAUCUAAUCUAAUAUUCCGCGCCGUCUGCUUGGAGGCGUGUGGCAUAUAUACAAACAUAAUCAGCGACAAUUGCUGACGGCUGACACCAAUUCAGACACACGUGAAAUAACAGCCAAUGACAGAACAGGGAGGAGACAUAACAGAAACAUAACAAAAAGCACGUGCACAAUGUACACAAUGUCACGAUUGUCAACAAACGAAAAGCACCUUGCUCGUGCACGUGUGCCCACAUGC